rnacentral:tRNA from 1 species
GUGCCUGUAGCUCAAUGGAUAGAUCGCAGGUCUCCGGAACCUGAUGUCCGGGUUCGAUUCCCGGCAGGCACA